CCUACGGGGGGCUGCAGUGGGGAAUCUUGCACAAUGGGCGCAAGCCUGAUGCAGCCAUGCCGCGUGUGUGAAGAAGGCCUUCGGGUUGUAAAGCACUUUCAGCGGGGAGGAAGGCGUUAAGGUUAAUAACCUUGGCGAUUGACGUUACCCGCAGAAGAAGCACCGGCUAACUCCGUGCCAGCAGCCGCGGUAAUACGGAGGGUGCAAGCGUUAAUCGGAAUUACUGGGCGUAAAGCGCACGCAGGCGGUCUGUCAAGUCGGAUGUGAAAUCCCCGGGCUCAACCUGGGAACUGCAUUCGAAACUGGCAGGCUAGAGUCUUGUAGAGGGGGGUAGAAUUCCAGGUGUAGCGGUGAAAUGCGUAGAGAUCUGGAGGAAUACCGGUGGCGAAGGCGGCCCCCUGGACAAAGACUGACGCUCAGGUGCGAAAGCGUGGGGAGCAAACAGGAUUAGAUACCCCAGUAGUC
rnacentral:rRNA from 1 species